UGAGGAAUUUUGCGCAAUGGGAGCAAUCCUGACGCAGCAACGCCGCGUGGGUGAUGAAGGCCUUCGGGUCGUAAAGCCCUGUCAGGUGGGAAGAAUGUCCCGGGACUGAACAGGUUCCGGGAGUGACGGUACCACCAGAGGAAGCACCGGCUAACUCCGUGCCAGCAGCCGCGGUAAUACGGAGGGGGCAAGCGUUAUUCGGAAUUACUGGGCGUACAGCGCGUGUAGGCGGUCCUGCAAGUCGGAGGUGAAAGCCCCGGGCUUAACCCGGGAAGUGCAUUGGAAACUGUGGGACUUGAGUACUGGAGAGGAUGGGGGAAUUCCCGGUGUAGAGGUGAAAUUCGUAGAGAUCGGGAGGAAUAUCAGUGGCGAAGGCGCCCAUCUGGACGGUAACUGACGCUGAGACGCGAAAGCGUGGGGAGCAAACA
rnacentral:rRNA from 1 species